AUUAGAUACCCUAUUAUUUUUAUUGUAAAAUUUAAAGUUGGAGUACUAUUAGUUAUGAUCUUUAAACUUAAAGAAUUUGGCGGUAUUAUAGUCUGUUUAGAGGAAUCUGUUAAGUGAUCGAUAGUCCACGUUGAACCUUACUUAUAUUAUUUCUUGUAUAUCGCUGUUUGGGAUUAUAUUUUUAGAUAAUUUUCUAAAUAUAUAAAUAGUUAAAAUUUCAAGUCAAGGUGCAGUUAUAUAUAAGUUGAGUAAUGGAUUACAAUAAAAUUUAUUUAUAUGGAUUAAUUAUUGAAAUAUUAAUAUGAAGGUGGAUUUAAUUGUAAUUUUAAAUAUAUUAUUAAAAUGAUUUAUAGCUCUAUAAUAUGUACACAUCGCCCG
rnacentral:rRNA from 1 species